rnacentral:rRNA from 1 species
GGCCUACCAUGGUGGUAACGGGUAACGGGGUGUUAGGGCACGACACCGGAGAGGGAGCCUGAGAAACGGCUACCACAUCCAAGGAUGGCAGCAGGCGCGCAAAUUACCCAAUCCCGACACGGGGAGGUAGUGACAAUAAAUAACAAUACGGGGUUCUUCGAAUCUCGUAAUUGGAAUGAGUACAAUUUAAAUCUCUUAACGAGGAACAAUUGGAGGGCAAGUCUGGUGCCAGCAGCCGCGGUAAUUCCAGCUCCAAUAGCGUAUAUUAUAGUUGUUGCAGUUAAAAAGCUCGUAGUUGAAUUUCGGGAUCAGCAGGUUGGUCUUGUCACUGGUAUGUACUAGCUUGCUGAUUCUUCCUUCUUGUAGAACCGUAAUGCCAUUAAUUUGGUGUUGCGGGGAAACAGGACUGUUACUUUGAAAAAAUUAGAGUGUUUAAAGCAGGCUAGCGCCUGAAUACAUUAGCAUGGAAUAAUGAAAUAGGACGUUCGAACCUAUUUUGUUGGUUUCUAGGAUUGACGUAAUGAUUAAUAGGGAUAGUUGGGGGCAUUAGUAUUCAAUUGUCAGAGGUGAAAUUCUUGGAUUUAUUGAAGACUGACUACUGCGAAAGCAUUUGCCAAGGAUGUUUUCAUUAAUCAAGAACGAGAGUUAGGGGAUCGAAGACGAUCAGAUACCGUCGUAGUCUUAACCAUAAACUAUGCCGACUAGGGAUCGGAUGAUGUUAAUUUUUUAUGACUCAUUCGGCGCCUUACG